UACGGGGGGGGGCAAGCGUUGUUCGGAAUUACUGGGCGUAAAGGGCUCGUAGGCGGCCAACUAAGUCAGACGUGAAAUCCCUCGGCUUAACCGGGGAACUGCGUCUGAUACUGGAUGGCUAGAGGUUGGGGGAGGGAUGCGGAAUUCCAGGUGUAGCGGUGAAAUGCGUAGAUAUCAAGAGGAACACCUGCGGCGAAGGCGGGUUGCUGGGCUGACACUGACGCUGAGGCGCGAAAGCGUGGGGGAGCAAACAGG
rnacentral:rRNA from 1 species